AUAUAUGGUGGAUAAGAGGAUUGGUACAGUGGCUAUAAGCUGUAGCUAUCUAACACUGCUCAAAUACACCCUGUGUUCCAUGUUUCACCGUUCAAGAAGAGAGUUGGACCCUCUGUCACACCCCAGCAACAAGUUCCUUUGGUGGGGGAGUGAUGGUCAAAUGUUAGUUUAACCUAUAGCCAUCUUGCAGAGGCGCACGAUCAAGGAGAAUAAUGGAGUGGCAGUUAAAGUUUUAAUUCAAUGGGAGAACCUAUCACCUGAAGAAGCUACAUGGGAGGACUGGUCUUUUAUUAAGGCCCAAUUUCUAUAAUUUAUACAGCAGUUACAACAACAUUCUUGAGGGCAAGAAUGAUUUUAAGGAGGGUGGAAUGUAAUGACCUAAGUCUAAAGAGUAUUAGUUAUCAUUUAUCCAAACGACAAUGUAUUGAGUAGCUAUUACAGUCCAAUUAACGAUAAUUCAACAAAUAAUUCAAAAGUUGGUUAUAUACGUGGAGGGCUGAGAUUAAAGUGAAGGAAGGGCCGAGAUUAAGGGAAGCAAACCUAUAUAAAGAAGAAAUUGCGGGUGUGGAAGGCAUUGAGAAAUCCGGCAUGAUGUUGGAAGCUAGCUGAAUCUUUUCGUUGGAGCUGUCGAUUAUAAUUUCCUAUUUCUUAUUAUUUCAUUUCUGUUAUUAGUGAACUCUUUCGGUUGUUGAUUGUAAUUGUUGGUUUGAGUACCAAAUGCAGAGUUUCUGAUGUAAUUGUUAACUGUUAGAGGUUAAAUCGAUUAAUUGAGUAGUUGAAUUGUGUUCUUAA